rnacentral:rRNA from 1 species
ACAUAGGUUAACGAGGCGAACCGGGGGAACUGAAACAUCUAAGUACCCCGAGGAAAAGAAAUCAACCGAGAUUCCCCCAGUAGCGGCGAGCGAACGGGGAGCAGCCCAGAGUCUGAAUCAGCUUGUGUGUUAGUGGAACGGUCUGGAAAGUCCGACGGUACAGGGUGAUAGUCCCGUACACCAAAAUGCACAGGCUGUGAACUCGAAGAGUAGGGCGGGACACGUGGUAUCCUGUCUGAAUAUGGGGGGACCAUCCUCCAAGGCUAAAUACUCCUGACUGACCGAUAGUGAACCAGUACCGUGAGGGAAAGGCGAAAAGAACCCCGGCGAGGGGAGUGAAAAAGAACCUGAAACCGUGUACGUACAAGCAGUGGGAGCACCUUCGGGUGUGACUGCGUACCUUUUGUAUAAUGGGUCAGCGACUUAUAUUCUGUAGCAAGGUUAACCGUAUAGGGGAGCCGCAGGGAAACCGAGUCUUAACUGGGCGUUAAGUUGCAGGGUAUAGACCCGAAACCCGGUGAUCUAGCCAUGGGCAGGUUGAAGGUUGGGUAACACUAACUGGAGGACCGAACCGACUAAUGUUGAAAAAUUAGCGGAUGACUUGUGGCUGGGGGUGAAAGGCCAAUCAAACCGGGAGAUAGCUGGUUCUCCCCGAAAGCUAUUUAGGUAGCGCCUCGUGAACUCAUCUUCGGGGGUAGAGCACUGUUUCGGCUAGGGGGUCAUCCCGACUUACCAACCCGAUGCAAACUACGAAUACCGAAGAAUGUUAUCACGGGAGACACACGGCGGGUGCUAACGUCCGUCGUGAAGAGGGAAACAACCCAGACCGCCAGCUAAGGUCCCAAAGUCAUGGUUAAGUGGGAAACGAUGUGGGAAGGCACAGACAGCCAGGAUGUUGGCUUAGAAGCAGCCAUCAUUUAAAGAAAGCGUAAUAGCUCACUGGUCGAGUCGGCCUGCGCGGAAGAUGUAACGGGGCUAAACCAUGCACCGAAGCUGCGGCAGCGACACUAUGUGUUGUUGGGUAGGGGAGCGUUCUGUAAGCCUGCGAAGGUGUGCUGUGAGGCAUGCUGGAGGUAUCAGAAGUGCGAAUGCUGACAUAAGUAACGAUAAAGCGGGUGAAAAGCCCGCUCGCCGGAAGACCAAGGGUUCCUGUCCAACGUUAAUCGGGGCAGGGUGAGUCGACCCCUAAGGCGAGGCCGAAAGGCGUAGUCGAUGGGAAACAGGUUAAUAUUCCUGUACUUGGUGUUACUGCGAAGGGGGGACGGAGAAGGCUAUGUUAGCCGGGCGACGGUUGUCCCGGUUUAAGCAUGUAGGCUGGUUAUCCAGGCAAAUCCGGAUAAUCAAGGCUGAGGUGUGAUGACGAGGCACUACGGUGCUGAAGUAACAAAUGCCCUGCUUCCAGGAAAAGCCUCUAAGCAUCAGGUAACAUCAAAUCGUACCCCAAACCGACACAGGUGGUCAGGUAGAGAAUACCAAGGCGCUUGAGAGAACUCGGGUGAAGGAACUAGGCAAAAUGGUGCCGUAACUUCGGGAGAAGGCACGCUGGUGUGUAGGUGAAGUCCCUGCGGAUGGAGCUGAGACCAGUCGAAGAUACCAGCUGGCUGCAACUGUUUAUUAAAAACACAGCACUGUGCAAACACGAAAGUGGACGUAUACGGUGUGACGCCUGCCCGGUGCCGGAAGGUUAAUUGAUGGGGUUAUCCGUAAGGAGAAGCUCUUGAUCGAAGCCCCGGUAAACGGCGGCCGUAACUAUAACGGUCCUAAGGUAGCGAAAUUCCUUGUCGGGUAAGUUCCGACCUGCACGAAUGGCGUAAUGAUGGCCAGGCUGUCUCCACCCGAGACUCAGUGAAAUUGAACUCGCUGUGAAGAUGCAGUGUACCCGCGGCAAGACGGAAAGACCCCGUGAACCUUUACUAUAGCUUGACACUGAACAUUGAGCCUUGAUGUGUAGGAUAGGUGGGAGGCUUUGAAGCGUGGACGCCAGUCUGCGUGGAGCCAACCUUGAAAUACCACCCUUUAAUGUUUGAUGUUCUAACGUUGGCCCCUGACCGGGGUUGCGGACAGUGUCUGGUGGGUAGUUUGACUGGGGCGGUCUCCUCCCAAAGCGUAACGGAGGAGCACGAAGGUUAGCUAAUCCUGGUCGGACAUCAGGAGGUUAGUGCAAUGGCAUAAGCUAGCUUGACUGCGAGCGUGACGGCGCGAGCAGGUGCGAAAGCAGGUCAUAGUGAUCCGGUGGUUCUGAAUGGAAGGGCCAUCGCUCAACGGAUAAAAGGUACUCCGGGGAUAACAGGCUGAUACCGCCCAAGAGUUCAUAUCGACGGCGGUGUUUGGCACCUCGAUGUCGGCUCAUCACAUCCUGGGGCUGAAGUAGGUCCCAAGGGUAUGGCUGUUCGCCAUUUAAAGUGGUACGCGAGCUGGGUUUAGAACGUCGUGAGACAGUUCGGUCCCUAUCUGCCGUGGGCGCUGGAGAAUUGAGGGGGGCUGCUCCUAGUACGAGAGGACCGGAGUGGACGCAUCACUGGUGUUCGGGUUGUCAUGCCAAUGGCACUGCCCGGUAGCUAAAUGCGGAAGAGAUAAGUGCUGAAAGCAUCUAAGCACGAAACUUGCCCCGAGAUGAGUUCUCCCUGAGACU